CUCUCUCUACGCCAAAAAUCAUCAAUAUUGUCAGCCGUCGCUGGAGUUGGCCACCGGAAGGCCGGCAAACUACGACGGCACCACUCUCCCCUCUCGAUCAGUUCUCCCUUACCAUCUCCGCCUCUCCCUUGCUCCAUAUCGUGGCUGGCUUGCCGGAGUUGUGACCGGUGAGAUCCAGCUCGAAACCACCACUGCCGCCCUUCCCUUCCCCCUUUAUCUCACUUUCCUCAUCACCAAACAACUCUAGUGAUCCUCUUCUACCACCACCACUGCUAUCCUACGAUAAUGGCCAAAUUUGACUGGAUUUAUAUUCUUUUUGGCGUUGCUCCGAUGAGAUCCGUUAAAGCAACGCUACUUUCAUUGUUCCCUUGUCUUG
rnacentral:lncRNA from 1 species